UCUCCGUAGGUGAACCUGCGGAAGGAUCAUUAUUGUAUAACCGAGGUGCGAGGGCUGUCGCUGACCCGAAAGGUCGUGCACGCCCGAGUGCCCUCACACACAUCCAUCUCACCCCUAUGUGCACCACCGCGUGGGUCCCCCUUUGGCUUGUUCGGAGGGGGGCUUACGUUUUCACACAAACUUUGUAUGCAGUGUAGAAUGUAUUUUUUGUUUUUGCGAUCACGCAAUCAAUACAACUUUCAACAACGGAUCUCUUGGCUCUCGCAUCAAUGAAGAACGCAGC
rnacentral:misc_RNA from 1 species